ACCAGGUCUAGUGGUGAGGAUUCGUGGUUUUCACCCAAGCGGCCCGGGUUCGAUUCUCGGCAUGGGA
rnacentral:tRNA from 1 species